rnacentral:misc_RNA from 1 species
CAUGAUAUACCAAAACAGUUGCAAAUUAGCAGUAGGAACUCCAGAACAAGCGAGCGACAAUAGGCUCCCUAUAUUUCUGGAGCAGGUGCAGCAGGAGCCCUCAGAAGUGGUUGAAGAGCUUUGACAACAAUACUCAUGUUUGGACGGAAUUCAGCUUCAUAUUGCACGCACAGUGCUGCCACGGCUGCCAUCUUAGCCACUGCUUUCGGAGGACAUCCUUUCAACUUUGGAUCAACACAUUGCUGCACUUUAUCUUCACUCAGUCUCGGGGUAGCCCAAGUAACCAGGCUCUGCUGUCCUCGAGGCAUUGUAUGAUCUACAGGCUUUCUUCCGGUCAAAAGUUCAAGCAAGACCACUCCAAAGCUAUACACAUCACUCUUCUGUGUCAGUUGUCCAGUCAUAGCGUAUUCUGGUGCAUGAUAGCCAAAUGUUCCUAAAACUCGAGUAGAAUGAAGGCGAGCAGCCAUGUCAGGAGCCUGAUUUGACAAGUUAAAAUCUGCAAUCUUUGCUUUGUAGUCUUCAAAGAGGAGGACAUUGCUUGAUCUGAUAUCCCUGUGUAUUACUGAAGGUUGGACCUUCUCAUGCAAAUACUCAAGACCCCUAGCAGCAUCAACAGCAAUCCUUACCCGCUGCACCCACUCAAGUGUUGGGCCAGGCUGUGCCCCUUGUACUCCUUUCCUUCCGUGCAAAAUAUCAUGCAAGGACCCCAUCGUUGCAAACUCAUAAGCUAAUACACGAAUGUUUCCUUCAACACAGUAGCCAAGCAACUCAACAAGAUUGUCAUGCUUCAAUCUUGAAACUCUAGCAACCUGAUUCAAGAAGUCAACAUUAGUCUCAGGCUCGGAUGAAACAUCAAGCUUUUUCACAGCAACAGCCUUGCCAUUGCUUAGAUUAGCAUAGUAUACUCUCCCAUAAGAUCCUUCACCAAUUAAUGCUUUCGAUCCAAAAUUGUCAGUUUCCUGUUUCAGUUCAUCCAAAGACAACGCAGGGACCUCUAUAGUUGGCACUGCUUUAUCCGCUUCAGCCCUGAUAGGAUCUGAUACUCUUGACCCUUUCUGAUAUCCAUCAGCAUGACUUGCAGGGUGUUUCAGGUGCUCGGUUUCAUGUGAUGGGUAGGACUCCUCUACUUGACAGGUACAACACAGCCACCUUCUCAUCCUUACUCUCUUUCUCAAAUAAAGAUCGUCUUCAGCCCUUCGGUUCUCCAAGCGUGAAAAGUAACCAGGAGGAGGAGCAUGUGCCUGAAAAAUUGAAUCUUUUCUUGUUCUUCUGUAGCUUCUUGAUUAUGCUAAAUCAAGACAAUUAUAAAGUGAAGAACAGGUAAGCAAAGACAGCGAGAACAAACGACACAGAGAGGAAAAAGGUAGGGGUGGAUUUGCUUUGUUUGUAUUGUUAAAC